CGAGCUCUGUUAAUGGUUGGAUUCACACAGCUCCUCCAGCACACGAGGCCAUUUCUUGGCUCCCAGAUCUCCCACUGUGCACAGGCUUCUUUGCUUCUGCCAGCAGCUGGAGCAGCCCCUCCUGCUCCAGCAACGCUCCGCCCCAAGCUCCUGCUUCCAAAAAGGCAGCAGGAGCUCACUGUUCACUGCACAUCACAUUAACAGAUGAAAAUCAACUGGCUGCUCUUUGAUUUCUGCUCUUGACACUGGCUUUACUUGUCACCUGGUAAUGUCACCUCUGCUGAUGCUGGCACGGUGCCUGCUUAUCCCAAACACUCACCUUCAUCCCGGGGCACUGUGCUCAGAGGCUCACCUGGUCUGUGUUAGUGUUAAGCAUGGAUUAUAGUUUAUUAAGUAAAGAAAAGCAAGUGGUUGGUCCUGGAGCUUUUACAGUUCUUGCUCUCCUAAUAAUUUCCUGUGGCCUGUGAUUGUGCCGAGAGUUGAAAUCUGUCUGUAGCUGCAUCUCUUUGCCUGAGCCAUUUAACUGAUUUAAUUACGUCCUUUGAGUUACUUUCUGCAUGAGGCUUUGAAAUUCCCGUCACGGAGGAGACUCUGUAAAUAUGUAUUGUAUGUUCAGCAGUCAGGAAUCCAUUGGCAGUGCAGCUGGAUCCCAUGUGCUGAGAUCUGCUUGGCCCUUCCAUGGCCACCACGAAGCCCUGUGGCUUUUGGGCAGCUCUGGCCCUGCAGAGCCAGCCAACAUUCCUGUUUGGGGGCUCCUGUGUGUGACUUCAGAGUUCUUUAAACUCCCUUUUCCUCGGCUGCUUGGGUGAGCUGCUUGCAGAUUGCUGCAGGUUCUAUGAGAGUACAGCAGAAGGCAUCUCUCUCCAGAAAAACCAAGCUGUGGAAUGGGGAUGAUGUUCGAGGUGAUGGAUGGGGAUCCCUGGCUGCCUAUUUCCAGCACUGGGAGAUCGUGCUUGUGUCACACCUGUGAAACAAGGAACAGAGGAGGAGCCCUGGUGAAUGCUUGCUGUGUCCUCUUAGGGGUUUCUGGUAGCAGUCCACAGACAAAGGAGAUGCUGCAGUGUCACCCUAAAUGGAUAUUGAAACACUUAUUUCAGCCUCCAUCUCGAAGGAGGUUGAGAAGUUUGAUGCUAUGA
rnacentral:lncRNA from 1 species